UAUAUCCUGAGGUACCUGCUUUAUGGAAUUAUUCACACUAUUCACCAACAGGAAGAAUAAAGUCAAUCAAUUCAAGGAGUCUCAGAACAGGAGCACAUAGACACCAAACUUUGUGGGACAACAAAUAUAAUGAAGAGUAUGUUUGCGUCUUUCAAACAAAGAAAUGUUAUGAGAAUGACUUGGAUGAGCUGAAAAAUGAAUGAUCUCCUUGAACAAGACGCAUCUGAAAUUUGGUGCCAUGACUCGAAUCGGGGGACCUCCCUUGGAAGAUCAAUCCCCUGUCCUCCUGCUCUUUACUCCAUGA
rnacentral:lncRNA from 1 species